rnacentral:tRNA from 1 species
GCCAAUGUAACUUAAUUGGUAGAGUACUUUCUUGGUAUGAAAGUAGAAACGGGUUCAAUUCCCGUCAUUGGCU